rnacentral:rRNA from 1 species
CCUACGGGAGGCAGCAGUGAGGAAUAUUGGUCAAUGGGCGGAAGCCUGAACCAGCCAAGUCGCGUGAGGGAAUAAGGCCCUACGGGUCGUAAACCUCUUUUGCCGGGGAGCAAGGGCGGGGACGUGUCCCGGCCCGGAGAGGACCCGGAGAAAAAGCAUCGGCUAACUCCGUGCCAGCAGCCGCGGUAAUACGGAGGAUGCGAGCGUUAGCCGGAUUUAUGGGGUUGAAAGGGGGCGUAGGCGGGCUUUUAAGUCAGCGGUAAAAAUUCGGGGCUCAACCCCGUCCGGCCGUUGAAACUGGGGGCCUUGAGUGGGCGAGACGCAGGCGGAAUGCGUGGUGUAGCGG